rnacentral:pre_miRNA from 1 species
UGACUUACAGCUUUCCCCAAAAUAUUCCUUUUGGGCUGAAAUUUUCCAUGCUUGGUCUCAGGCCAAAGUUGAAAGUUUUUGGAAAGUCUGAAUU